AUGACAAGAUGCAGGUGUAAACUUGGAAAAGCCAUGAGAUGCAGGUCAAAGAGGACCAGAGCCUCCACGGUUCUUCCUGUUGGACGCGACCAUUCUUUGAGCAGAGAUUGCAGCAAAGGCAAAGCAGGAACAGCACCGACACCGGGCCGAGCCCACGAGGCAGUCUGGGUGAUGAGCAACACCCCACACUGGUUUAGGCACGAGAGGAAACGCAUUGAGUCAGGUGACCAGGAAGAUCAAACUCACCUUUGGCCCAGCUGGACCCAUGGGCUGAAUAAAGUCAACAAACCUAAGUUUGUUUUUGUUCAUUUUUUCUCUACUUUUCAAGUUUGCUUUUUUUUUUUUCUGAAUUUACUUCCUGACAAGCAAACACUCCCCAUGAAUUGUCGAAGAGAACUCUGCCAGUUCUCAUUAGUGACUCCAGCGAUGAAAAGAAUCCUUUCCCUAGAGUUCAUGCACAAUCCCUGGGUCCUUCGUUUGGCCCUGUUUGGCUCCAAGCACAUCCCAAGUGCAGCCCCGGCGUCAGGGGAUGCAGUGCUCUGAGGGGCCCAGCCUGGGUCAGUCCCUUCCCUGGCCCUGCCCCACCCCCAUAUGAGAAGCGCCUGCCGUAAAGCUGCAACCCAAACUGGCAGAGCAAGAGGGAAACUUAGAAAUGAUCUCGGUGACUUCCCUCAUUUUAGGUUAUUAAUGUGAGAAAGGGGCAAUGCUGUGAACAUUUUAUAUACUUACUGGUUACAAUUUAAAGAAUUAAAAGAAGGGAAAGAUGAAAAUAAAAACCCCACAUAAUCCCCUAAAAUGUACA
rnacentral:lncRNA from 13 species